rnacentral:rRNA from 1 species
GACGAACGCUGGCGGCGUGCUUAACACAUGCAAGUCGAACGGAAAGGCCCUGCUUUUGUGGGGUGCUCGAGUGGCGAACGGGUGAGUAACACGUGAGUAACCUGCCCUUGACUUUGGGAUAACUUCAGGAAACUGGGGCUAAUACCGGAUAGGAGCUCCUGCUGCAUGGUGGGGGUUGGAAAGUUUCGGCGGUUGGGGAUGGACUCGCGGCUUAUCAGCUUGUUGGUGGGGUAGUGGCUUACCAAGGCUUUGACGGGUAGCCGGCCUGAGAGGGUGACCGGCCACCUUGGGACUGAGAUACGGCCCAGACUCCUACGGGAGGCAGCAGUGGGGAAUAUUGCACAAUGGGCGGAAGCCUGAUGCAGAAACGCCGCGUGCGGGAUGACGGCCUUCGGGUUGUAAACCGCUUUCGCCUGUGACGAAGCGUGAGUGACGGUAAUGGGUAAAGAAGCACCGGCUAACUACGUG